CGGCUACCAGGAGAAAAAGAGGAGGAGGAGCGACCUGAUGAAGUCAUUUUCCACUUUCCCGAGUGGAAUGAACCCAAUGAAUCGACCUAAGGCAGUUCCACAGACGACUAUGAUGUCCCAGUUAAUCAAAAAGGAACCUCCGAACGCAUACACCAACCAGGUCAACAGUGGUCAGCUGAGGCCAAAUCAAGGCCACAUGUACUACCAACCUGCAACUCAUCGGCCCAUGAUGGCAA